rnacentral:rRNA from 1 species
AACGAACGCUGGCGGCAUGCCUAACACAUGCAAGUCGAACGAGACCUUCGGGUCUAGUGGCGCACGGGUGCGUAACGCGUGGGAAUCUACCCUUGGGUUCGGAAUAACAGUUAGAAAUGACUGCUAAUACCGGAUGAUGACGUAAGUCCAAAGAUUUAUCGCCCAAGGAUGAGCCCGCGUAAGAUUAGCUUGUUGGUGGGGUAAUGGCCUACCAAGGCGACGAUCUUUAGCUGGUCUGAGAGGAUGAUCAGCCACACUGGGACUGAGACACGGCCCAGACUCCUACGGGAGGCAGCAGUGGGGAAUAUUGGACAAUGGGCGAAAGCCUGAUCCAGCAAUGCCGCGUGAGUGAUGAAGGCCUUAGGGUUGUAAAGCUCUUUUACCAGGGAUGAUAAUGACAGUACCUGGAGAAUAAGCUCCGGCUAACUCCGUGCCAGCCGCCGCCGUAA